rnacentral:lncRNA from 1 species
CAUCCCCCAUCCCGAGCGGAGCCCUUCAGUAACGUCCAGGAAGCUAUGGCACUGGGUCAGACGACUGUGGCGUCCUGUCACCUGGGAAGCAGGAAGUUGCCCUCCUCCCUCCGUCUGCUCUGCUUGGUGGAGGCUCCUUUUCUACAACUUUCCAUGCCUCAGGUGCCACAGGAAACAAAUCUGACUUUGUGGGGAUCCUAUGGGAGCCUGGAGCGCUUGCCAGAGCAGCUGGGAGCUCGGUGUUUCUGCUGCAAAUGGAGGAAGUUCACAGAGACCCAAAGUGUGAAGGCGAAGCAUGCACAUGAACUCCGGGCUCGUAAGCAAGUGACUUCCCUUCCCUUGGGGACCUACACGCAGACAGGCCGGAGGAGGAGGUGUCCUGACCAUGCAGACAUGCCCAAGGGAGGAGGUGUCCCCACCACAGACACCAGGUGACCGGGUGUCCCCACUACAGACAGCAGGUGAGGGGGUGUCCCCACCACAGACACCAGGUGACCGGGUGUCCCCAGCACAGAGGCAGCAGGUAAGGGGGUGUCCCCUCCACAGACACCAGGUGACCGGGUGUCCCCAGCACAGAGACAGCAGGUAAAGGGGUGUCCCCUCCACAGACACUAGGUGAGGGGGUGUCCCCACCACAGACAGCAGGUGACGGGGUGUCCCCAGCACAGAGAGAGCAGGUGACGGGGUGUCUGCACACAAAUGCUGCUGGGUGCUCAUGCCGGGAAGUACUCUUUGGUCUCUGGUAGGUUAGGGGCUCUGCAUCGGUGUGGCUGAAUUUGCGGAGGUGAUAUUUCUCUGAGUUGACUUAAUUUCUGACCUCCUUGGUCAACUUUCAUUCACAGUCUGUGUAUUCCCAAGAGCAGGCGGGAGACUGUGGGGCUGUUUGGAGAAGAACGUGUGUCCUGGGUUUGCGCCUGGCCUGUCAUCCUGCCCAGGUGAGGGCAGGUCCCUGAAAGUCCCCUCCAAGUCACAGGCGUGACAUUUGUCAAGAAGGAAGCAGUGAAGCUUUGGGAAGAGUGAGCUUGGGGCGGAAUUCAUGCCAGGCAGAGACAGCCAUGGCCAGCGUGGGAACCACCAGGUGGCUCGCUGGGGAGGCCUGCGUGGGGAGGCCCGGUGGCGUAGGCACCGCUGGGGUCCUCGUGUCACAGCUGGGCCCUCCGUACACGAUCACGCGCUCGGUGCACGGGCAGAGCAUGGAUUUCUCCGCCUGGCUCUGGGUUAUUUCACUGUGGAGUUGUCAGGUCCUGCCCGUCCCGUUCCCUGCGGUGGGAGGAUCACUGGAGCCGAGGUGGUGGGGUAGUCUCCUGCCCCUGCUGUGGAAAACCAGCGGCCUUGCCAGCUCAGGCUGUGUCCUCACCACCCUCCCGGGAACCUGCGGUCCGUCGUGACGAAAACAAGCCCUGUGGGAUGAGGUCUGGCUGGGCUUCUUGGAGGUGACCCAUCCCGUUUUUUUAGUCCCCUAAAAAAAAAAAAAAAA